GCCAACGUGGUGUAGUGGUUUGAGCAUCAGACUAUGACUCUGAAGGCCUGGAUUCGAUUACCAGCUUGGCC